UACGGAGGAUCCAAGCGUUAUCCGGAAUCAUUGGGUUUAAAGGGUCCGUAGGCGGUUUGGUAAGUCAGUGGUGAAAGCCCAUCGCUCAACGGUGGAACGGCCAUUGAUACUGCCAGACUUGAAUUAUUAGGAAGUAACUAGAAUAUGUAGUGUAGCGGUGAAAUGCUUAGAGAUUACAUGGAAUACCAAUUGCGAAGGCAGGUUACUACUAAUGGAUUGACGCUGAUGGACGAAAGCGUGGGGGAUCAAACAGG
rnacentral:rRNA from 1 species